rnacentral:piRNA from 1 species
GAGGCUGUCGGUUCCUUAUGUGCCACAGGU